UAGGGAAUCUUCGGCAAUGGGGGCAACCCUGACCGAGCAACGCCGCGUGAGUGAAGAAGGUUUUCGGAUCGUAAAGCUCUGUUGUAAGAGAAGAACGUGUGUGAGAGUGGAAAGUUCACACAGUGACGGUAACUUACCAGAAAGGGACGGCUAACUACGUGCCAGCAGCCGCGGUAAUACGUAGGUCCCGAGCGUUGUCCGGAUUUAUUGGGCGUAAAGCGAGCGCAGGCGGUUUAAUAAGUCUGAAGUUAAAGGCAGUGGCUUAACCAUUGUUCGCUUUGGAAACUGUUAGACUUGAGUGCAGAAGAGGAGAGUGGAAUUCCAUGUGUAGCGGUGAAAUGCGUAGAUAUAUGGAGGAACACCGGUGGCGAAAGCGGCUCUCUGGUCUGUAACUGACGCUGAGGCUCGAAAGCGUGGGGAGCAAACAG
rnacentral:rRNA from 1 species